rnacentral:rRNA from 1 species
UACGUAGGGGGCAAGCGUUGUCCGGAUUUACUGGGCGUAAAGCGCCUGUAGGCGGGGCGGGAAGUCGGACGUGAAAGGCUGGGGCUCAACCCCAGAAGGCCGUUCGAAACUCUCGCUCUUGAGGGUCGAAGAGGAGCGUGGAAUUCCCGGUGUAGCGGUGAAAUGACGUAGAGAUCGGGAGGAACACCCGUGGCGAAGGCGGCGCUCUGGUCGGCAUCUGACGCUGAGAGGCGAAAGCGUGGGGAGCGAACGGGG